AUACGUAGGGGGCGAGCGUUGUCCGGAAUGAUUGGGCGUAAAGGGCGCGUAGGCGGCCCGGUAAGUCUGGAGUGAAAGUCCUGUUUUUAAGAUGGGAAUUGCUUUGGAUACUGUCGGGCUUGAGUGCAGGAGAGGUAAGUGGAAUUCCCAGUGUAGCGGUGAAAUGCGUAGAGAUUGGGAGGAACACCAGUGGCGAAGGCGACUUACUGGACUGUAACUGACGCUGAGGCGCGAAAGUGUGGGGAGCAAACAGGAUUAGAUACCCUGGUAGUCCACACUGCAAACGAUGAAUGCUAGGUGUAGGGGGUAUCGACCCCUUCUGUGCCGCAGUCAACACAAUAAGCAUUCCGCCUGGGGAGUACGGCCGCAAGGUUGAAACUCAAAUGAAUUGACGGGG
rnacentral:rRNA from 1 species